AAACAAACGUCCUGCUACGCAAAAAUGGUGUCUCUCCAUUGUCCGUUCAAAAAUAUUGUAGGGUUUCAUCGUCCCCUUCACAGACCUCAAACUUCCUUCAUUACUUCUACACGCGAUGCCUUUCCUACCCAGUUCAAUUUCAGAUUCAACAAUGUUUUGAGUGUACAUCUAAGGCAGAGACUACUACCUAUAUCAAAAUCAAGCACCAAUCCUUCAGGAGGACCAGAGAAAAGCAAGGAUGCAUCAAGCCCACCAUUAGCCACCAUUUUGGCUGGUGUCUUAGUCUUUUGUGUCGUCUGUUGGAUCGUAGGAUCUAUUGUAAUCUGGCUCAUAAGUCUCAUAACUAAUGUCCCGCCAUCAAAAUAAAACCAGAGUGUGCAUUGUAGUUUGUUUGCGCUUUGAUCACUAGCUAGACAAAGCCAUCUUUUGAUUGCAGCCUAAAUAGUGAUGCUUUCCUUUAUGUUACCAAGUGUGAGAUUAAUACUGAGUUGCUAAUUAUUUCUAACAAUGCUGAAACAUUUGUGGAGUUUCUGGUUAGCUCAAAUGGCAUGAUACUUCAGUUAGAGCAUACCAGGAAGUAUCACUCAUUCUGUUUUCAUCUAAAUUUCAAGGUUUUUUUUUU